rnacentral:rRNA from 1 species
UACAGGGGGGGCAAGCGUUGUUCGGAAUUACUGGGCGUAAAGGGUCUGUAGGUGGCCAACUAAGUCAGACGUGAAAUCCCUCAGCUUAACUGGGGAACUGCGUCUGAUACUGGAUGGCUUGAGUGUGGGAGAGGAAUGCGGAAUUCCAGGUGUAGCGGUGAAAUGCGUAGAUAUCAAGUGGAACACCAGUGGCGAAGGCGAGUCCCUGGACAACACCUGACACUGAGGCACGAAAGCUAGGGGAGCAAACAGG